rnacentral:tmRNA from 1 species
GGGGCAUUGAAUGGUUUCGACGCGUUGCAAAACCGCAUGACGGAACAGCGCGGACACGAGUUCGACUCUCGUAUGCUCCACCA